UAAACAGAUUACUGUAUUCGACUGUAUUCACGGCGUGAAACAGGGGAUUACACUGUUUUUAAACGGAAAGUGUAUCAAUUAACAAAAUAGACACCU
rnacentral:pre_miRNA from 1 species